rnacentral:tmRNA from 1 species
GGGGCUUGGAACCUGAAGUUUAUUAAUUAUCAUGGCAUCCAACAGGAACAUUGUCAUUACUCUAACAUCUAGAUUGUAUGCAGAUGAAAUUUCUGCUCUGCAGGAAAUGGUUGGCGCUGUCAUUUGUCUGCAGCACUAUCACCAGGUGCAAGAUGUUACAUCAAUUGGUCUGGGUCAUAUCAUCAGACCAGAGGGGCCAGUUGACUGGAUUGCUGCUUUUCACUAUCUGAGGAGGUGCACAUUUGGCAUUCUGCAUGAGAUAAAUCCAGAUUCAAUUUCUAUUAUUCGUGUUGACCCAGGGGAAAAUUAUCAAAUAAAGAAUACUUCCAAGCCCUAUGUGAUGUGGGAUGAGCAUGAUGAUUUAGCAAUAAUUCCUCCCAUAUUUGGAGUACAACAAUGCACUAUAAAACUUGACUCAAAUGAUGUUAACUUGGUGUUUCCCAGUGUAGUGCCAGCAGGGCUGGCCCAAAUGGGAAUACAAAAAAUCCUCAUGUACAAUUUGUAUUCUAACCUUUUGGCAGCGGAGCGCAACCAUGACAAUGUUAAUGCACUAGAACAUUAUACCAGAAAUAUCUCAUACAUGGGGCGGACGUACAACCUGGAUGCUAUGGCUCAGCACCAAGAUGGUGCCAUGGCCGUGUUGGAUGAUGUUGCUAUGUGUACAGCGGUCCUGGCUGCUAUUGUUCCAGAAGUAUGUAAUCGGGUAGCGAUGGCCACCAUAAGGGAGGGUCAGCAUCCACUUGUGGAGGUGUUUGCGGACAAUGUUCCCAUGCUACAGAGAGGGCAAGAAUUGAAUGUUGAGCAGGAUAUUAUGCUCAUGGGGCUGUUUAUGGCAUAUACUCACAAGCUUGGUUCAAUAUUUAAUCUGAGUACGCGGCUCUGUUUGGGUGCCUACUCCCACGAGACAAAAAUAGGAACCUGUUGGCUCUAGCUCAUCAUGCCAGAAGAAAUAGAACUUAGGUCUCUGGGAAGAAACAGUAGUGGUGAGGUUGUGCUAAAUGGACCCUACCACUGUUCUGAAAAUUCCAGAUGUCCAGACUGUGAAAAGUUUUCAUAUCUGGCAUACUCCUUUCUUAUAUUCUUGACAGUACUGCUAUUUUCAGUGUAUCUACUUUUUGUGUGUCCAUUUGAAAUAAAACAUUUGUAUGGUA